UAAAUCCUACGGGGGGCAGCAGUAGGGAAUCUUCCACAAUGGACGAAAGUCUGAUGGAGCAACGCCGCGUGAGUGAAGAAGGGUUUCGGCUCGGAAAGCUCUGUUGGUAGGGAAGAAAGAUAGAGGUAGUAACUGGCCUUUAUUUGACGGUAAAUACUUAGAAAGUCACGGCUAACUACGUGCCAACAGCCGCGGUAAUACGUAGGUGGCAAGCGUUGUCCGGAUUUAUUGGGCGUACAGCGAGGGCAGGGG
rnacentral:rRNA from 1 species